rnacentral:rRNA from 1 species
AUUGAACGCUGGCGGCAGGCCUAACACAUGCAAGUCGAGCGGCAGCGGAAAGUAGCUUGCUACUUUGCCGGCGAGCGGCGGACGGGUGAGUAAUGUCUGGGAAACUGCCUGAUGGAGGGGGAUAACUACUGGAAACGGUAGCUAAUACCGCAUAACGUCGCAAGACCAAAGAGGGGGACCUUCGGGCCUCUUGCCAUCAGAUGUGCCCAGAUGGGGUUAGCUAGUAGGUGGGGUAACGGCUCACCUAGGCGACGAUCCCUAGCUGGUCUGAGAGGAUGACCAGCCACACGGGAACUGAGACACGGUCCAGACUCCUACGGGAGGCAGCAGUGGGGAAUAUUGCACAAUGGGCGCAAGCCUGAUGCAGCCAUGCCGCGUGUAUGAAGAAGGCCUUCGGGUUGUAAAGUACUUUCAGCGGGGAGGAGGGUGUUGAGGUUAAUAACCUCAGCAAUUGACGUUACCCGCAGAAGAAGCACCGGCUAACUCCGUGCCAGCAGCCGCCGUAACAC